UCUCUUUGCUCACCGAACCAGCACCUGCCGCAACCGAAUCGGGGGGGCCAUCAGGGGGGGAUUUGAUUCGGGGAGGCGAAGGAGCUCUCUCGCCGCCAUGGACGAGGAGGAGCACGAGGUGUACGGCCAGGAGAUCCCGGAGGACGGCGAUAUGGACGGCGCUGACGUCGAUAUGGCCGCCGGCGGGGACGACGCGGCGAAGCUGCAGGACCUCGACGAGAUGAAGCGCAGGCUGAAGGAGAUGGAGGAGGAGGCUGCCGCCCUCCGCGAUAUGCAGGCCAAGGUCGCCAAGGAGAUGCAGGGAGGUGACCCUAGUGCAUCAACAGCUGAGGCGAAGGAGCAGGUGGAUGCCCGCUCUGUGUAUGUUGGAAAUGUUGAUUAUGCGUGUACACCAGAAGAAGUACAGCAGCACUUCCAAGCUUGUGGAACUGUCAAUCGGGUGACAAUCUUGACCGACAAGUUUGGGCAGCCAAAAGGUUUUGCUUAUGUUGAAUUUCUGGAACAAGAAGCUGUCCAGGAGGCUCUUAAUUUGAAUGAAUCAGAGUUGCAUGGUCGCCAGAUUAAGCUUUCGCGCUUUGCUUUGUGCUCAACAGGUUGCACCGAAGAGGACUAAUGUCCCUGGGAUGAAGCAGCGUCCACCACGCGGGUUUAACCCGUACCAUGGCUACCCAUAUAGAUCAUACGGAGCGCCGUACUUCCCCCCAUAUGGUUAUGGGAGGGCUCCAAGAUUCCGCCGGCCAAUGCGCUACAGGCCUUACUUCUGAAGUACUGGGGUCAUAAAGUUAAAUGCAAAUCCAUCCUAGACAGUCCCGAGAAUAAAUUCUAUUCUACUCUACUCUACCUGCUGCUGUUUCAUUGGCACCGUUUCAUAGUAGACACUGCUGCGGCCUGAAUGCUCCUGCCCCAGACCCCAGUUGUCUUUUGUGCCGCCAUGUGCGACUUGUAAUAUCGGCAUGCUGUGAUGCCAUACGUAGUAACAAACAUCACUGUAAUACUGACUCAUGCUAUUUUCCCGGAGUCAUUUCAGUAUUCUUUUAGCAUUUUUAGACCCCUUUUGGCACAGCUUCUACCGGAUCUGGCUUGUCACUAUUCA